rnacentral:rRNA from 1 species
CAGUAGCCGCGUGAAUACGAAGGGUGCAAGCGUUACUCGGAAUUACUGGGCGUAAAGCGUGCGUAGGUGGUGGUUUAAGUCCGUUGUGAAAGCCCUGGGCUCAACCUGGGAAUUGCAGUGGAUACUGGGUCACUAGAGUGUGGUAGAGGAUAGUGGAAUUUCCGGUGUAGCAGUGAAAUGCGUAGAGAUCGGAAGGAACAUCUGUGGCGAAGGCGACUAUCUGGGCCAACACUGACACUGAGGCACGAAAGCGUGGGGAGCAAACAGGAUUAGAUACCCGUGUAGUCCCUGUCUCUUAUAC